UACGAAGGGGGCUAGCGUUGUUCGGAAUUACUGGGCGUAAAGCGCACGUAGGCGGAUAUUUAAGUCAGGGGUGAAAUCCCAGAGCUCAACUCUGGAACUGCCUUUGAUACUGGGUAUCUUGAGUAUGGAAGAGGUGAGUGGAAUUCCGAGUGUAGAGGUGAAAUUCGUAGAUAUUCGCAAGAACACCAGUGGCGAAGGCGGCUCACUGGCCCGAUACUGACGCUGAGGCACGAAAGCGUGGGGAGCGAACAGG
rnacentral:rRNA from 1 species